CUCCAGUUGAUCGCAUGGUCUUCUGGGAAAGCUUUCGCGGUAUGGGAUGGGGUCGCGUCCUAUCAGCUUGACGGCGGGGUAACGGCCCACCGUGGCUUCGACGGGUAGCCGGCCUGAGAGGGCGACCGGCCACAUUGGGACUGAGAUACGGCCCAGACUCCUACGGGAGGCAGCAGUGGGGAAUAUUGCACAAUGGGCGCAAGCCUGAUGCAGCGACGCCGCGUGAGGGAUGGAGGCCUUCGGGUUGUAAACCUCUUUUAUCGGGGAGCAAGCGAGAGUGAGUUUACCCGUUGAAUAAGCACCGGCUAACUACGUGCCAGCAGCCGCGGUAAUACGUAGGGUGCAAGCGUUAUCCGGAAUUAUUGGGCGUAAAGGGCUCGUAGGCGGUUCGUCGCGUCCGGUGUGAAAGUCCAUCGCUUAACGGUGGAUCCGCGCCGGGUACGGGCG
rnacentral:rRNA from 1 species